rnacentral:rRNA from 1 species
GAGAAUGCCGGUGUGAGUAGCGAAAGACGGGUGAGAAUCCCGUCCACCGAUUGACUAAGGUUUCCAGAGGAAGGCUCGUCCGCUCUGGGUUAGUCGGGUCCUAAGCUGAGGCCGACAGGCGUAGGCGAUGGAUAACAGGUUGAUAUUCCUGUACCACCUAUAAUCGUUUUAAUCGAUGGGGGGACGCAGUAGGAUAGGCGAAGCGUGCGAUUGGAUUGCACGUCUAAGCAGUAAGGCUGAGUAUUAGGCAAAUCCGGUACUCGUUAAGGCUGAGCUGUGAUGGGGAGAAGACAUUGUGUCUUCGAGUCGUUGAUUUCACACUGCCGAGAAAAGCCUCUAGAUAGAAAAUAGGUGCCCGUACCGCAAACCGACACAGGUAGUCAAGAUGAGAAUUCUAAGGUGAGCGAGCGAACUCUCGUUAAGGAACUCGGCAAAAUGACCCCGUAACUUCGGGAGAAGGGGUGCUCUUUAGGGUUAACGCCCAGAAGAGCCGCAGUGAAUAGGCCCAAGCGACUGUUUAUCAAAAACACAGGUCUCUGCUAAACCGUAAGGUGAUGUAUAGGGGCUGACGCCUGCCCGGUGCUGGAAGGUUAAGAGGAGUGGUUAGCUUCUGCGAAGCUACGAAUCGAAGCCCCAGUAAACGGCGGCCGUAACUAUAACGGUCCUAAGGUAGCGAAAUUCCUUGUCGGGUAAGUUCCGACCCGCACGAAAGGCGUAACGAUUUGGGCACUGUCUCAACGAGAGACUCGGUGAAAUCAUAGUACCUGUGAAGAUGCAGGUUACCCGCGACAGGACGGAAAGACCCCGUGGAGCUUUACUGUAGCCUGAUAUUGAAAUUCGGCACAGCUUGUACAGGAUAGGUAGGAGCCUUUGAAACGUGAGCGCUAGCUUACGUGGAGGCGCUGGUGGGAUACUACCCUAGCUGUGUUGGCUUUCUAACCCGCACCACUUAUCGUGGUGGGAGACAGUGUCAGGCGGGCAGUUUGACUGGGGCGGUCGCCUCCUAAAAGGUAACGGAGGCGCUCAAAGGU